UCCCAAGUAGCGGUGAAUCCCCAUUCUCCGGAGAGCGGCGGCGAGACCCUUCUCCGGCACUACCGCUGCUUCCGGCAACGUCCAGCUUGCCGGCUUACGCGAUGCAAUCUGACUCUCACGACGGCCGUUCCGCCACCCUGGAUUCCCCUCCCCCAAGCAGGGGAUGACCACAAUUGUACUACCUGAUGACCUGGUGGGAGAUCCUGUCUCGGCUGCCGCUGAAGUCCUUUUGCCAUUUCAGAUGUGUCUCCAAAUCUUGGCUUGCCUUCUCAUUUGAUCCGCACUACCGCCAGAAGCUCCCAAGAACUCCUGUCUGUCUCCUCUACCAAAAAGGUGAGCAUGGCACUCCCAUCCUUCUGGCGGGACUUCCCUCAAGUGCUAGGGAUAUUGAUUUUGUGCUAUGUUGAUCUCAAGCUUAAGGACUACAACAAUGGCCUACUUCUUUGUUAUCAUUGUGAUACGCACUAUAAUGAAAUUUAUGACGCUAUCGUGUGCAAUCCAGCAACUAAAGAGUGGAUUGUACUUCCAGAUAUUUGCUGUUCUCAGGUUGUGUUUUGAUCAUUAUAGUCUCAGCACUUCUAUGUCUGCAAAUUUGAGAUAAUCUUGAGCCCUUAUAGGGUGGACAUGGUCGGUCCGGUCCGGUCCCUGACCGAGCCACCGUUUGGACUGGCCGCUAGCGGGCUGGAUCGGACCGGACGGACCAACCUAGCGGUCCUGUUU